rnacentral:rRNA from 1 species
GGGUGAGUAAUGCCUAGGAAAUUGCCCUGAUGUGGGGGAUAACCAUUGGAAACGAUGGCUAAUACCGCAUGAUGCCUACGGGCCAAAGAGGGGGACCUUCGGGCCUCUCGCGUCAGGAUAUGCCUAGGUGGGAUUAGCUAGUUGGUGAGGUAAGGGCUCACCAAGGCGACGAUCCCUAGCUGGUCUGAGAGGAUGAUCAGCCACACUGGAACUGAGACACGGUCCAGACUCCUACGGGAGGCAGCAGUGGGGAAUAUUGCACAAUGGGCGCAAGCCUGAUGCAGCCAUGCCGCGUGUGUGAAGAAGGCCUUCGGGUUGUAAAGCACUUUCAGUCGUGAGGAAGGUUUAGGCGUUAAUAGCGGAUAUAUUUGACGUUAGCGACAGAAGAAGCACCGGCUAACUCCGUGCCAGCAGCCGCGGUAAUACGGAGGGUGCGAGCGUUAAUCGGAAUUACUGGGCGUAAAGCGCAUGCAGGUGGUUUGUUAAGUCAGAUGUGAAAG